GACGAACGCUGGCGGCGUGCUUAACACAUGCAAGUCGAACGAUGAAACCUAGCUUGCUAGGUCGAUUAGUGGCGAACGGGUGAGUAACACGUGACUAACCUGCCCCUUUCUCUGGGAUAACGCUCCGAAAGGAAUGCUAAUACCGGAUACUCACACCGAGGCACAUGCCUUGGUGUGGAAAGUUUUUCGGAAAGGGAUGGAGUCGCGGCCUAUCAGCUUGUUGGUGAGGUAACGGCUCACCAAGGCGACGACGGGUAGCCGGCCUGAGAGGGCGACCGGCCACACUGGGACUGAGACACGGCCCAGACUCCUACGGGAGGCAGCAGUGGGGAAUAUUGCACAAUGGGCGCAAGACUGAUGCAGCGACGCCGCGUGAGGGAUGAAGGUCUUCGGAUUGUAAACCUCUUUCAGUAGGGACGAAGCGAAAGUGACGGUACCUAAAGAAGAAGCACCGGCUAACUACGUGCCAGCCGCCGCCGUAA
rnacentral:rRNA from 1 species